ensembl:lncRNA
GCUGUGCUAAAGGCGCCACACCCACAAAAUGUGUCUCAACUGCGAUCAUAUCUCGGACUUGUGAACUAUUACCACAAAUUUCUUCCAAACCUCUCCACUGUACUACAUCCUUUGAAUGCAUUGUUGCAAACAAAGACACAGUGGAAAUGGUCGGACAGCUGUGAACAAGCUUUCCAAGAGACCAAAAGGCUCAUAACUUCUGAUGUAGUGCUGACACACUUCAACCCAUCUAUGCCUAUCAGACUGGCGUGCGAUGCAUCACCAUAUGGAAUUGGCGCAGUGCUGUCACACAAGUUUCCAGAUGGCACUGAAAAACCGAUAGCCUUCGCAUCUAGAUCACUAACGACAGCAGAACGUAACUAUGCACAAAUAGACCGUGAAGCACUUAGUCUCGUGUGGGGUGUAAAAAAAUUCCACCAUUAUCUGUAUGGUCAAAGGUUUACCCUGAUCACAGAUCAUCAGCCCUUGGUCUCGAUCUUCAAUGUUCGGAAGGGUGUCUCAGCGAUGGCCUCAGCACGGCUGCAGCGUUGGUCACUCUUUUUGGGUGCUCACCAAUAUGAUAUCGAGUACAAAGGCACCAAACUACACGGUAAUGCUGAUGGCUUGUCACGUCUUCCACUAAAGUUGACAGAAGUGUCAAAGGCGAUGGAUCCAGCUGAUGUGUUUCAAACCUCAAUUGUGAGUCAGUUUCCUGUGACAAAUGCCACUAUUCAGAGAGAAACCCGCAAUGACCCAACAUUGUCUAAGGUCUAUGAUAUCACUGUACAUGGGUGGCCGACAAAAGGGAACUCCCUAUAUCCAGCAUUCGCAGCGAGGAGAGAACAGCUUUCUGUGUGUCAAGGAACUCUAAUGUGUGGCUUACGAGUCGUCAUUCCCUCCAAAUUGCGCAGUAAGAUGCUGGACACACUGCAUGAAGGACAUUUGGGCACUGUAAAAAUGAAAAACCUUGCCCGCAGUUACAUGUGGUGGCCGGGAAUCGACAAACAGAUUGAGGAUCUGGCAAAGGCUUGUCCAGGAUGUCAAAAGACACAGAACUCUCCACCAUUAGCUCCCUUGCAUCCCUGGGAAUGGCCGUCAACACCGUGGCAAAGAGUGCAUGUCGACUUUGCUGGACCAUUCAAGGACUCCAUGUUCUUGAUCGCCGUGGACGCGCAUUCUAAGUGGCCUGAAGUUGUUCUAAUGAAGACAACCACAUCCGAAAAGACUGUUUCUGUGCUAAGAACAAUAUUCUCCAGAAACGGGCUGCCAGAACAGAUAUGCACGGAUAAUGGACGACAGUUUGUCUCAGACGAGUUUCAGAAAUUCAUGAAGCUGAACGGAGUCAAGCACAUUACUUCCG